UCCCCCACAUUAUCCAUCUCCGAACACUUUCCUUUUUUUUUUUUCUCUUUUGCAUUUUUGCUUUGAUAAUUUUGAUUGCCGAUUUAAGCAUCCUCUCCACUAUGAAUAAUCUAAAAUCUAAAGAAGAUUUAGCAAAAAGGCUACGUUUAUUUAGGAUUAUAUAGAUCUUCAGUAUUGUUUAUUUAUUUGCUAGAUAAUCU
rnacentral:lncRNA from 1 species